GAUGAACGCUAGCUGGAGGCUUAAUACAUGCAAGUCGAGCGGGAUUGGGUAGCAAUACUCAUGAGAGCGGCGCACGGGUGAGUAACGCGUACACGACCUACCUCUGACAGGGGGAUAGCCCUGGGAAACUGGGAUUAAUACCGCAUAUUAUUCUGAAUAAUAAAGGUUUGGAAUGAAAGCUGAGGCGGUCAGAGAUGGGUGUGCGUCUGAUUAGCUAGUUGGUAGGGUAACGGCCUACCAAGGCGAUGAUCAGUAGGGGGCUGAGAGCGUGGUCCCCCCANACGGGUACUGAGACACGACCCGGACUCCUACGGGAGGCAGCAGUAAGGAAUAUUGGUCAAU
rnacentral:rRNA from 1 species